AACGGCCAUACCAUGCUGAAUAUACCGGUUCUCGUUAGAUCACUGAAGUCAAGCAUCAUUGGGCGCGGUUAGUACUUAGGAGGGUGACCACCUGGGAACACCGCGUGCCGUU
rnacentral:rRNA from 1 species